AAGAGGAUUAGAUACCCUCGUAGUCCAUGCCGUAAACGAUGUGUGUUAGACGUUGGAAAUUUAUUUUCAGUGUCGCAGCGAAAGCGAUAAACACACCGCCUGGGGAGUACGACCGCAAGGUUAAAACUCAAAUGAAUUGACGGGGACCCGCACAAGUAGUGGAGCAUGUGGUUUAAUUCGAAGAUACGCGCAGAACCUUACCAACACUUGACAUGUUCGUCGCGACUUUAAGAGAUUAAAGUUUUCGGUUCGGCCGGACGAAACACAGGUGCUGCAUGGCUGUCGUCAGCUCGUGUCGUGAGAUGUUGGGUUAAGUCCCGCAACGAGCGCAACCCUCACUUUUAGUUGCCAUCAUUUAGUUGGGCACUCUGAAAGAACUGCCAGUGAUAAGCUGGAGGAAGGUGGGGAUGACGUCAAGUCCUCAUGGCCCUUACGUGUUGGGCUACACACGUGCUACAAUGGUAUCUACAACAGGAAGCAAAACGGCGACGUUAAGCAAAUCCUUAAAAGAUACCUCAGUUCGGAUUGCACUCUGCAACUCGAGUGCAUGAAGCUGGAAUUACUAGUAAUCGUGGAUCAGCGUGCCACGGUGAAUGCGUUCCCGGGUCUUGUACACACCGCCCGUCACACCAUGGGAGUUGGUUCUACCUUAAGGCAAGGUUUAAAACCCUUGACCACGGUAUAGUCAGCGACUGGGGUGAAGUCGUAACAAGGUAACCGUA
rnacentral:rRNA from 1 species